AACGAACGCUGGCGGCAUGCCUAACACAUGCAAGUCGAACGAGAUCUUCGGGUCUAGUGGCGCGCGGGUGCGUAACGCGUGGGAAUCUGCCCUUUGGUUCGGAAUAACAGUUGGAAACGACUGCUAAUACCGGAUGAUGACGAAAGUCCAAAGAUUUAUCGCCAGAGGAUGAGCCCGCGUAGGAUUAGCUAGUUGGUGUGGUAAAGGCGCACCAAGGCGACGAUCCUUAGCUGGUCUGAGAGGAUGAUCAGCCACACUGGGACUGAGACACGGCCCAGACUCCUACAGGAGGCAGCAGUGGGGAAUAUUGGACAAUGGGCGAAAGCCUGAUCCAGCAAUGCCGCGUGAGUGAUGAAGGCCUUAGGGUUGUAAAGCUCUUUUACCCGGGAUGAUAAUGACAGUACCGGGAGAAUAAGCUCCGGCUAACUCCGUGCCAGCAGCCGCAGUAA
rnacentral:rRNA from 1 species